rnacentral:piRNA from 1 species
UAAAAAAUUUUUCGUUUCAAA